UCUUUGGUUUUAGACAUUACAAAUACAUUUCUCAAUUUUUUUUUUUUUUUUUUUGAGACACAGUAUUGCUUUGUCACCCAGGCUGGAGUACAGUGGUGCAAUCUUGGCUCACUGCAAUCCCGCUUUCUGGGAUCAAGUGAUUCUCCUGCCUUUGUCUCCUGAGUAGCUGGGACUACAUGUGCACAUGUCAGUGACUUGUUCGUCUUUCACUUACUCUUCAGCUGUUGUACAUUAUUUUUUUCCGAACCCAGUAAACUGCAAUCUGUGUUUAGUAAAAGUCAGGAAAUGGCAGGCCUUAUUCAAUAACAGAAACACUGCAACUAAUCAGGAACAUUUGGUUUUCCAGCACAUUUAUUUGCAAUCAGGCUGCUCACAUGUGGAUUUGAUCUCCUGUGGUUGGGCCAGAAGUUACAGCACCCUCCCCUCAAGGGCUCCUUAGGGUACCUGCUGAGACACAUCAGGGCAAGCAGCAAACAACUCUUUGACCAUCAGUGCAAGUGACAGCAGGUGUCAAUCAGAACAAGCAAGAGCUGGAAAGGAGCUCAGGGAUCAUCCAGUUCGACCCCCAUUGUUCAGAUGCAGAUGAAUGUAUGACAUCUCUUGGUAAAAUGGCCCAGAAGAAACACAGGAAGGAGUUAUGAAAAGAUAACACCCCAAUUCUACUUCUACCAAUAGAUGAGAAUUUGACAAAGAUGCUAAAGAGGAAUUCUUACAUCAGGCAAGUAGUCCAACCUGUUCGUGUUUAUUGUCCUGCAGUGCUGAGAAUCUCUAAGGCUCGGAUAGAGAGCAACGUCUAUUUUCUGGUUGCAAGGCAGAUGCCUUCUCCUAUAAUACUUGGUUUGGUUCUAUACAACUGAAGUGAAUUUUAGUGACACGCCCAUCAACAGUGAACCUGCUUAGAGGCUCACUGUCUACUUUAGGCAUCAGCUGUCAGGAUCCCAUGUGGAUAUGGAAUAGGAUGCAACUUGCAGUGGAAAAUCAUGUCUCCAGUAUGCCAGGAUUGAGGCAGCACCUCUCUGCCUCUGUUGAUAGGGGAGAGACUCUAGGAAGCUUAGCAAUUCCCAGGGAAGUGGUGUUGUCUUGUCUGCAUGGUUUGAUUCAUGCCAAGAUGCCUUUGGAUAACUUUAUAAAUAGCAGGCUAUACUGAAUACUAAAUGCAAUGUGAGCUAGGAGAAGAAAGUAUCUGCCUUCAGGGCUACCUUUAUUCUUUAAUAAACAAGGUAAUUUACUUUAGGGCUUUGUGUUACUCUCUCAUGGAUUAGAAUUUUUUGGCCUGGCUCAGUGGCUUACAUCAGUAACCUCAGCACUUUGGAAGGCCAAGGUGUGAGGAUCACUUGAGACCAGGAGUUCAAGACCAGCCUGGACCACAUAAUGGGACACCAUCUGUACAAAAAAAUUUUUUUUUUAAUUAGCUGGGCAUGGUGGCUUGUGCCUGUCGUCCCAGCAACUUGGGAGGCUGAGGUGGAAGGAUCACUUGAGCCUGAGAAGUCAAGGAUGCAGUGAGCCGGGAUUAUCCCACUGCACUCCAGCCUUGGCAAAACAGUGAGACCCUGUCUCAAAAAUUAAAAAAAAAAAGAAGUUUUUAAUAUUUUCUCUUUAUUUAGGAGAAUACUUUGUUUUGUGUUAUAUCAAGAAGAAGCCAACGUGUAGCUAAGAGUUUCUGAGAAACUUAAUACCAGAAUCAAUCUUCCUCUUUUGUCUUACUUGCUCACUCCCACUCACUCUCUCACCAGACUAGGUACAGUUGGGAGUUUAAACCAAAGUAAUUUACCGUAACUACACAAUCAGAAGCUUCCUUCCUAGAAUUUAUAUUUAUUUCUGAGUAUUAACAUAAGGUAGAUGCAAACAACCAUUACCUCUACCACUGAUAGACAUAUGGCAUUUCUUAGCCAUCCCCUGAGCCACAUCUUUCGGAUGACCUCAGAGGGUCAGAUAUUCCAGGCAAGGGAAGGGGUGGGAGAUGUACUCAGAUCACAUUGCUGAUAACCCCAUGGGCAGGGUCUGGAAUCCUGUUAGUGCAAAGAGGUAUAGAAGCAUUUCUGUAACAUAUUUUAAUAUUUAAAACAAUGAACUAGUGACAAAUAAUAUUUCAAAAUGAGAGAAGUAAUUUUAGAUGGGUUUUCUUUUCCAUUUGAAUUUAACUGGCUCAACUAACUUUUUAAUCUAGUUCAAAUUCUGCUCAUUCUCUCUGGUUUAAGUCUAUGUUUGCUUAUCCCUUCUGGCCACCCCUAAUCAGUGUGCCUCCUGGAUUUUCUCAAUUAGGUCACAUUAUCCUAUUGGGCAAAGGUAAAUCUCAUCCUACUAUUAUAGUGCUAUCUUCUACCACAGGGCCGUUAUUCUGUUUGGACCAGUAAUUGCUCCUGUGCUUUUGUGGCUCCUUUCCAGGGCCUUUGCUAAGCUAUGAGACACCUUUUUGAGAAUGAAAUAAAACAAGUUCUCCUGAGGGACUGUGCAGCCCCAAGCUGGGGCCCUAAUGCAGUACUUUAUAUUUCAUUCACCUCCUCAGCCAGGUGCCUUGUGCAGUUAACAAACUGCAAUGGCAUGUGAUCUCCCUGCCCUUUCCUACUUCUGCUCUAGAGUAUAAGAAAGAUAAAUGGUUAGGAAGAAGGAUGCUGGAAGGAACAAUUUGUGAAAGCCAAAUGCAAUAUCAGGCGAACUCUGGCCGCAGCAGUGACACUGACUGUUUAUGCACUCACCUUCUUUUUAUGGAUUUCUUGUAGAAUAUUUAAAUGGGAUUCAUUUGCUCUCAGAGUUUUGGCAGGUACCCCAAGUUUGAGAACCAAAUAUUCCAGUGUUCCAAAGGGAGGUAUUAGACCAUCUAGGCAGAAUAUGCUUAGAGAUAGUGACAUCUGUGUUGCUGGCAUUAGUCCAUGGCCCAGCUCCAGGUGACAUAAUAGAGUCAGAGAUGCCAGGGUGGAGAGUAUCUUUGGAGAGAGUUGUCAGUGUGUGGGGGCCGUGGGGAGGAAGAGUGGGGAAUGUGUCUGCCAUUUCAAACCAACUAAGGGGAGCUGUAAGAUAAACUCUCAGAGAAGUUGACAUGUGUCCCCUGGAGUAAGAAGGGAAACAUGAGAAGUCUGAAUAGGGGAGAUUAUUUCUAGUUUGCUGCUCUGGAGCCAUGGAAAAGAGAGUUUCAUUGAUCAUGAGUUGUACUUCCAGGGUUUGAUGGGCAAAGGUAUUUCCCCUCAGUCAGAUGAAGGCCGCAAGGAAGGGACCAUAUUAGGUCGUUUUGUGAUAGACACCAAGAGGACCUUGAGAGAAGUUGACCCCAACAGAUGGAGAUGAACUGUUAAAAACCAUGGGGCAAGAGUCCAUCUGAUAUCUUUUGGAGAUUCUUAUCUGUUGGAAGUCUUUGAAAAAUCUAUAAAAAUGCUUCAAAAGAAAGUGAAUUAGUAUUUAAAUUCUGUGUCCUGAAAGGGCAUCUGUGCUGAAUUAUAACAUGCCAACCAAAUCAGGCCUUUCUUUUACUUUUCUUCCCUACUGGAUUCCAACCAUCAAAUUGAAAAAACAAACAAAUAAACAAACAAACAAACAAACCCCAAAAACCAGCAGGUCAGACUGACUGUGAAGCAAGCAGGAAAGGAGAAGCAACUUCUCCUCCCCUUCCCUCACUGGUCAUUUCCUGGUUGGGAAAGGCCAGAGCUAGAGGAGAGGAGAAACUUUAAAUUAAAUUUUGGAGUGUUGAUAAUACACAGGGUGCUAAACACAACUAAUGGACUUUUUUGUUGUUGUUAUCUGAGAGUAACUGAAAAAGCCAUGAGAUGUUCUGGAGCUUUUGUCCAGGAGCAGGAAAGUACAAGUUGAGAAAAGCAGUUUUAUGGCAUGGUGGUGGGGAAGAACACUGGCUUUCUGUUUCUACUUUUCCAAGUUUCAGUUUAUUUAUUGAGUCAGUGCUGUGUUAAACAUAAAGGGUCCUGCUUGCAGAGAAGCCUGUGUAUGUUCUGGAUUUGACCCCUCUCACCUUCCUAAGAUGUCAAUCCUGAAGUUAUCUCCUUCCUCUUGUGCACUACUGAUUUCUCCUUCACUACUGGCUCUUUCCCAUUAGCAUGUAUUAUAAAAAUGACUUAGCAUCACCUCUAUCAAGAAAAGUGAUCCUAUACUGCCUUGAGCUAUUGCCCGGUUCCCUGUUAUCUGUCACUGAAAAAUUUCUGGAGGGAGUCAUCCAAGUUCAAGGUCUAUAUUUCCUCAUCAUUAAUUCUCAUCCUCAGCUCACUCCAGUGGGCUUUCAUCUCUGCCACAGCACUGGAUGGGCAUUCAUCAGUAACAGCAGUUCUCUACUCACAUCUUCUUUGAUUUCUCAGCUGCACACAGAAGGAAUGGUUGGUUCCCCCUUCUUGAGAUAUGUUCUUUUCUAGGCUUCUGUGCUACACAUUUAUCUGGACUCCUACUCUACUGGCCAUUUCUCAUCUGCUAGCUUUUCCUCCUUCAUCAGAACCCUGUCCUUGGCCUCUUCUCUUCUUGGUCAACAUUCUCUUUCCAGGCCCUUUUACCCAGUCAAGGGACUUCACUGGACAGUGCAGAUGUAAAACACUUCCAUCCCUGCAGAAAGUUUGAUUGUUCAGUGCUGGUGUAAAAAAAGAAAAGAAAAUGCCCUACCUAUUAAGUAAAGCAUACUUUAAUCAGAAUCAAUAAAAAUAAGAAAAAUCAGGGACAUCUGUGUGUGUUUGUGUAUGUUUGUGUAUGUGUGUAUGUGUUUGCGUAUGUGUGUACAUGUGUAUGUGUGUGCAUGUGUCUGUGUAUACGUGUGUGUGUGUGUGUGUGUGUUCAUUGCAGAAAACACUUCUUUUGGUUGUGACAAAAAAUUCAACCCAGAUUCUCAUGGAAGAAAAGAAUGUAUUGGCUGAUAGAUGCUGAAAAGUUGAAAGAUCCAGGGGAGCUCAGGCGCAACUUAAAUGAGGGCUUAGCUGAUGUCCCCAGGAUCCCUCUCUCUGCUCCCCAUCCUCUGAAUGGCUUCACUUUUAGCUUUAUUGCCCUCAUAUAUAAAAUAUAUAAAUGUUUAUAUAUAUAUAUAUAUAUAUAUAUACACACACACACACACACACACACAUUUCCGCAAUCUCUUGAUAUAUAAAGAGAUUCAUUAUAAAGAAUUGGCUCCCAUGAUUAUGGAGGCUGACAAAUGUCAAGAUCUGCAGAGUGAGUCAGCAAUCUCAAGACCCAGGAGAGCUGAUGGUGCAAGUCCAAAGUCCAAGUCUGAAGGCCUGAGAACCAGGAGAACUGAUGAUGUAGUUCCAUUCCAGAGGACCCCAGAAAAGCCCCUGUUUCAGUUUGAAGGUAGUCAGACAGGAGGAAUUCCAUCUUAUUUAGGAGAGAGUCAACCAUGUUGUUCUAGUCAGGACUUCAACUGAUGGAUGAGGCCCACCCACAUGAGGGGGAAAUCUGCUUUACUCAGCCUACUAAUUUAAAUGUCAGUCUCAUCCAAAAACAUUGUCAUAGAAACACCCAGAAUAAUGUUUGACCAUCCCAUGGCCAAGUCAAAUUGAUACAUAAAAUUAAUCAUCAUGGUUUCACUGGACUUCAUUGGUCCAUGGUGCUUUUUGACCUCUAAAGCACAAGUAUAGGGUCAUCUAUAUAUGGGUUGUGAAUAGAGGUAAGAUAGUUUCUGCACAGGAGAAUUUCAGGACUAUUGUCCAAGAAGAUAAGUGGAAACUAGGGGCAAUAAACAAGUAUCUACUACAAGCUGCAGAUUUGAAAGUUAAAAUGAGAAUGGAACAAAAAAAUUGAGUUACUGCUAUAAACUAGGCAGUGCCCUAAGUACUUUAUAUUACCACUGAGCUGAUGGACUUAAUGAAAAAGUUUGCUUAUAGCUUUUUCUUCUCCUGUAGAUUUACAAUGUAGAACGUCAAAUCCCUUAUCCCGAACACACAAUAAGAAAAACUACGAUUAUGUUUCUAAAGUUGUGAACUCUCCUUGGCCCCUUGGGGAGUAAACUCUUUUUAAAAUGUAGUGUUUCUGGUCAAGAGAGCAAAUUUGCUGAGAGGUUGUAGGCCACUUUGGCGACAACUCUAAGAACACUUGUCUUCUUUUUCUUCCCUCCUUUUAGACUAAAUUCCUGAUUUACCUAGCCAAAGAUUAAAAAACUUAGUAAAUUGAAGUGGAAGAGUUUGUGUAAGAUUAUUAUUUAUUCCGUGUGAAGAUUCACCAUUGAAGCCCUUGUGAAAAGUUUUAAUUUUUUUCAAUUCCUUUAAUAAACUAUUCAAUUUCAUAG